UUGGAGGGCAAGUCUGGUGCCAGCAGCCGCGGUAAUUCCAGCUCCAAUAGCGUAUAUUAAAGUUGCUGCAGUUAAGAAGCUCGUAGUUGAAUUUCGGGACCAUCAUGUCGGUCGUGCCUCGGUACGUACUGGUAUUGUUGGUUUCUCCCCUCUGACGAACCAUGAUGUCAUUUAUUUGGUGUUGUGGGGAAUCAGGACUGUUACUUUGAAAAAAUUAGAGUGUUUAAAGCAGGCUCACGCUUGAAUACAUUAGUAUGGAAUAAUGAAAUAGGACGUUUGAUUCUAUUUUGUUGGUUUCUAGGAUCGACGUAAUGAUUAAUAGGGAUAGUUGGGGGCAUUAGUAUUCAAUUGUCAGAGGUGAAAUUAUUGGAUUUAUUGAAGACUAACUACUGCGAAAGCAUUUGCCAAGGAUGUUUUCAUUAAUCAAGAACGAAAGUUAGGGGAUCGAAGACGAUCAGAUACCGUCGUAGUCUUAACCAUAAACUAUGCCGACUAGGGAUCGGAUGAUGUUAAUUUUUUAAUGACUCAUUCGGCGCCUUACGGGAAAC
rnacentral:rRNA from 1 species